UACGUAGGGACCAAGCGUUGUUCGGAUUUACUGGGCGUAAAGGGCGCGUAGGCGGCAAUUCAAGUCAUCUGUGAAAUCUCCGGGCUUAACUCGGAAUGGUCAGGUGAUACUGCUUUGCUAGAGUGCAGAAGGGGCAAUCGGGAAUUCUUGGUGUAGCGGUGAAAUGCGUAGAUAUCAAGAGGAACACCUGAGGUGAAGACGGGUUGCUGGGCUGACACUGACGCUGAGGAGCGAAAGCGUGGGGAGCAAACAGG
rnacentral:rRNA from 1 species